AAAUUGAAGAGUUUGAUCAUGGCUCAGAUUGAACGCUGGCGGCAGGCCUAACACAUGCAAGUCGAGCGGUAGCACAGAGAGCUUGCUCUCGGGUGACGAGCGGCGGACGGGUGAGUAAUGUCUGGGAAACUGCCUGAUGGAGGGGGAUAACUACUGGAAACGGUAGCUAAUACCGCAUAACGUCGCAAGACCAAAGUGGGGGACCUUCGGGCCUCAUGCCAUCAGAUGUGCCCAGAUGGGAUUAGCUAGUAGGUGGGGUAAUGGCUCACCUAGGCGACGAUCCCUAGCUGGUCUGAGAGGAUGACCAGCCACACUGGAACUGAGACACGGUCCAGACUCCUACGGGAGGCAGCAGUGGGGAAUAUUGCACAAUGGGCGCAAGCCUGAUGCAGCCAUGCCGCGUGUGUGAAGAAGGCCUUCGGGUUGUAAAGCACUUUCAGCGGGGAGGAAGGCGGUGAGGUUAAUAACCUCACCGAUUGACGUUACCCGCAGAAGAAGCACCGGCUAACUCCGUGCCAGCAGCCGCGGUAAUACGGAGGGUGCAAGCGUUAAUCGGAAUUACUGGGCGUAAAGCGCACGCAGGCGGUCUGUCAAGUCGGAUGUGAAAUCCCCGGGCU
rnacentral:rRNA from 1 species